CCCAGUUCGUGCUUCUACGGCCUCCCCCUCUUGUACUACGAGCCCGAGGUAUUGUCCCUGGUGCUUCCCGUUCUCUUGAUUCUUUUCUGUUUUUUCUAUUAACAUAGCAAUAAUCAAUAGUUGACACACUUGUGAGAAACUAAUGCUUACAUUUACUUAUGCGUGUGCCUUGCAGAAUCACAGGUCCACGGAUGUUGGUGUCUCAAAAUACAGGUAAUACCAUUUAAAAUUUUCAAUGAUUAAUGACAUCACAUGAGCUCAUAUGCCAAAUGUUCUUCCUCUGCUUUGAAGAAAAAAGCAAAGCACUUGAAUGGAAGAAUAUAUCUGGAACCGUCAUCCUUACAAAGUGCUAUUUUCAGCUGCAUGUUUUACUAAUAGUUGCUGUGCCUGGUGUCUUGUCUGACCUGAAACAUAUGGUCAUUUUAGUAAUAGCAACGUCAAAGUAGAAAUUAGGUUGGGCAGGGAAUUCUUUUGUUUCCUUUUAGGUUCUAGCCAGCAAUAUAAUUAUUUUGUUGUUUUGGCCAUGUUUGGGUUCCUUUUGCUUUCUCUUCUGCUGAUUAUCCUUUCGCAUUUGCUUGCCUCUAAUGCUUGCUUUGUCUGUUGCGGGAGAAAGGAGACACUCGCAGUUUGGCUGUGUCCAUGCUGCUGCUUUUGCCUAAGAUGGAUUCAAUUAAUUGAGGUAAGCUCCAGAUAUUGAUAUGAAUUUUUUUCUUUUGGGCAGAAAGCUAGCUAGAACUAAACUAAGAUAUUUUUAAGUGCUUCCUUGCACCUGCAGUUGUUUUCUUAUUCAACUUUGCUAUACAUAAAUACAAGUUUGUUCUUUUUGGGUACAGAGCUAGCUAGAAAUAAGCAAGGGCUUCCUUCAUGUGAAUGUUUGUUUCUUAUUCCAUUUUUGCCUUACAUAUAUGAAUUGCAUAUUUAAAAUUUCUUUUGAGAAAAACAAGGGCAACGUCUAGGUGUCAAGUAAUGUUUGAGAUUAGAGUAUCUUCCUCUGCUUUGAGCGAUACCAUCUUAGGUACAUGUAAAAAUAUAUACUUUGUUGCACAUAUCGGAUGUUCUCACAUACAUGGACUGCACCUUAUUUCUGUCUGUGAGAACCUCACUGCCGAGAAAAAAGUCUGUAGUUUUCCGUGCGAGCUAAGCAUCAUAAGAAAAGGAAAGAUCUGUAUAUGUAUGCAGUUCUGUUCAUUUUUAACAUACCGGUUUGUUCUGUUCAUUUUUAACAUCCCUCCUUACAGAUAAUUAUAGUUUGUAGAUUGUAUGCUAUACUGACGUGCCUUUGGUCUGAGCUGGAAGAAAGAUUUCAUUGCUUUUUGAUGUAGUCGUUUAUGACCCCUUGAACGCACACAAUUUUCUUUUCUCAUCUAAUAGUUAUGGAAGAAGAUGCAUGAGAACUACGGCUUAUGUAAUCUUGAGAGGUACAUAUAGCACAUAACUGUCUCUGGUUAUAUCUAUGAUCCAAAUAACGAUUGUAGCAUAAAAAAUUCAGAAUAAUAGCCUGGGUUUUAAUUCACUAUUGUUAGUACAUCAUUUUUCUGUUCUCAACAAUUUUCCUGAAUUCCUUGCUUGCAUUUUUUUGAAGCAUAGACAUAAUAAAAUCAUUGGUGCUAUUCUCAACACAUGCUCAAGCAAGUUUAGUAUAUUAUUUUUUCUCUUUGUAACCAGCAUGAGAUACACUGUUCCUGCGCAUGAAUCCUUCAUGGCAAUGGUAGAAGUUGUAUCUUCUGGCCUCUUAGUAACUAAAUAAAAAUUGUGAAGCACUGGAGCCAUCCUAUGAGUAUGAGUAUUGCACUGCUAUGGUGGCGAUUUUAUUUCAUGCAUCAGAAAUUGUAAUUAAUUAUUUCAUGCUCACCAGGUUCAACUAUCAGUGUCUAAUUUUGUUGCACCUGGUCCUCUGCAGUUUUGUUUCACUUUUCAAGGAUGAAUACAAGUUACCAAAGGGGUCUGUAAAGGAGCUUUCAUGGGGCUCAAACCAUGCCCUUAAAAUGAUCAGUAAGUCCAUUUACAUUUGCUUCCCACAAAAAUAACCAUUCAUUCAAAAGGUGACGACAACGCAUAGCAAUAAGAAUCAAGCAUCGAAGAAGCCUACGCACCUGUGUUGCUUAUCUUCCACUGAGUACUACCAUGCAACAUACAUUCUAGCUAGCUCUUACAUUCUAGCUAGCUCUUACAUCCGAGCUAUGCAUUGUACCUUGCAUGCCCUUAUUCUGCAUUCACACUAUGCACCAUCUAUUAUGUAAUGCGCCUUCCGGAAUUAGUGUUGUAUCCAUUGUAUUUUAUCAUCCAUUUUCCUUUGUCAAGCGUUUCCUUUAUACUAGAUGUUUCAGAACAAAAUAAAAAUAAAUAAGCAAGUGCUUAUGCCCUGCUAGUUAUAUUACACAUUAUGCUUGAACCUGUGUUGUUUUGUGAAAGGAAACAUCUCUUGUAUUUUGUAAUGUUUACAUAUAGCCUGAACUAUAAUGGAAGGUAUCAGUAUUUUUGAAUCCAUACUAAACUGCAAUAAUAUUGGUAUAGAUGCACAUGGGAAGUUUGAAAACACGCCAAUAGAAGUACAUGCUAGUUGCUAUGUGUAGUUGUAAGCUACUUGCUUUGAAAACAUCAUUAGGUUUUGAUUUUUGCUUGCAAAAUGAUUAUUACAAAAGUAUGUAUUUGAUGUGUGAGCAUACAUCCAUUUUUUGUGCGCUACAAUAUAGAUAAUUUACCAAAGUUAUUAGCUCAUAGCAGUAGUACCAUCUUAUCUAUUCAGGUUGGCAUAAUCACCAGAAGAUGUUUCUACAUGAUGUUUCUUCUACAAGAUAGCAGUUAGGAUGUCAACUUGAUGUUACUUCUUUUCAUAGUGGCAUCUUCAAAGCAUUGCAAGCUCACGACUCUUCUUGAGGAGACAUGCGGCCAUCUUCGAAUAAUGCAAUUUUACAGGUUGCAACCAUGUGUUGAGCUUAAACAAUUUGUGUAGCUUAGUUUGAAGAUACAAUUUAUGUAAAUUUUGUAUACCGUUCUAGCUGGAUGCUACUGAACACAUUAUGGACAUUGAAGUAUUGAAUUUUUAAUCUAUAAAUGUUUCUGAAGUUUAUGGUUUUGAAUGUGGCCUGUAUGUAACUUUGGUUGAACUAUUUGUAUAAGUUGUGAUUUCUUCUGCUUGCCUGAAGGUGUAUGGAUAUUAGAGAUAUGUAGCAUAGAACAGUUGGGUAGUGAAAUCAAC
rnacentral:lncRNA from 1 species